CUCCGAGAAUCCUGGAGAGGGAGGAUAUAUUGGAGACAAACGGGACUGCUGCCCGCCUUUUAGGUGACCGUCGGAGGCUGCUCUGAGCCGGGCACAGGCAGGCUUGACAGCAAAGUGUUUGAAAACGAAGAGCAGGAAUUCCGCGGUUCCUGCCCGGCCUCGCCAUCCAGCUGGGAGAAGAGCACGGUCAUUUCCUUCACUUAGUCCACGGCCGCUGGGCGCUCAUCCCCAGCACAGCCCUCCCCAUGCCGCGGCAAAGACUGUUGCUGUCCUGCUGAGGGAUGUGCCCCCGGGGAUUCAAUCGAGAUUCUGUAAGAUGUGGGGGAUGUGGCGGGGGUGGGGGGGCUUCUCCACAUCCCCAGGGCUCUCCUUCUUCCCCAGUGAGGUGGGAGAAGCCGCAGAUUGGGGUCUGCUGAGGAGCGGGCCUACGUGAGGCCCAGGUCGUGACCCACGGCUCCGGGGACCACAAGGUAAACAGUUUCGGCACAGGGUGCACCCACUAGGUCAUAGGUGGAUUCAGCCUUCUCUGAGAACCGAGAAGAUUCUGGAGUCUUUUGAAGCAGGAAAGGAGAUCAGAGGAGGAGAUGGUGGCAAAGCGGGGACUGAGACUCUUGAAAUGUGUUUAUCCCAGGCAGAGCAGCCG
rnacentral:lncRNA from 1 species